AAGUCGUAACAAGGUUUCCGUAGGUGAACCUGCGGAAGGAUCAUUAUUGAAAGUAAACUGUAGUCGGUUGAGCUGGUUCCUCUGGAACAUGUGCUCGCCUUCUGCGCUUUCUACUUAUCCACCUGUGCACUUAUGUAGACGGUAGAUCAAUCUCUCCGCAAGGAGGAUGGGAGACUCGAGUUAGCAAUAGCUCUUGACUCUAAAGAUCUAUCCGUCUAUGUUACACAUACACUUUUAAAAACUUUGAAUGUCUGUAUUAUUGGUCUUUGACCUUUAAACAUAUACAACUUUCAGCAACGGAUCUCUUGGCUCUC
rnacentral:misc_RNA from 1 species